UACAGAGGUCCCGAGCGUUGUUCGGAUUCAUUGGGCGUAAAGGGUGCGUAGGUGGCGGGGCAAGUCUGGUGUGAAAUCCCGGGGCUCAACCCCGGAACUGCACUGGAUACUGCCUUGCUAGAGCACUGGAGAGGGAACUGGAAUUUACGGUGUAGCAGUGAAAUGCGUAGAUAUCGUAAGGAAGACCAGUGGCGAAGGCGAGUUCCUGGACAGUUGCUGACACUGAGGCACGAAGGCUAGGGGAGCAAACGGG
rnacentral:rRNA from 1 species